rnacentral:lncRNA from 1 species
GACAGCAAUCAUACCACCUCAUCCUUUUUAUAUAUAUGGCUUUAAUUUUGCUAUAAAGGCAAUAUUUUCCGCAUAUGGAAAGUGAUUUCCCGAAUUUCAACGCAAUACCAUUGUUCAAACAGGCAUGCAACUUGAAAAACAGAUUUUGAAAAUGUUUUGUGUGUUGUUUAAAUUACAAAAUUUCUCAUCAUUGCUAAAGAAAAAUUACUUUGUCCAUCAAGCCGGUCUUUUUCGAAGCCAUCUC